AUUGAACGCUGGCGGCAGGCCUAACACAUGCAAGUCGAACGAGUGGCGGACGGGUGUGUAAUGUCUGGGAAACUGCCUUAUGGAGGGGGAUAACUACUGGAAACGGUAGCUAAUACCGCAUACCAUCGGAUGUGCCCAGAUGGGAUUAGCUUGUUGGUGGGGUAACGGCUCACCAAGGCCACGAUCCCUAGCUGGUCUGAGAGGAUGACCAGCCACACUGGAACUGAGACACGGUCCAGACUCCUACGGGAGGCAGCAGUAGGGAAUAUUGCACAAUGGGCGAAAGCCUGAUGCAGCCAUGCCGCGUGUAUGAAGAAGGCCUUCGGGUUGUAAAGUACUGUCAGCGGGGAGGCGUUACCCACAGAAGAAGCAACGGCUAACUACGUGCCAGCAGCCGCGGUAAUAC
rnacentral:rRNA from 1 species